rnacentral:rRNA from 1 species
CCUACGGGAGGCAGCAGUGGGGAAUAUUGGACAAUGGGCGAAAGCCUGAUCCAGCCAUGCCGCGUGUGUGAAGAAGGCCUUCGGGUUGUAAAGCACUUUCAGUGGGGAAGAAAGCCUUGGGGCUAAUACCCUCGAGGAAGGACAUCACCCACAGAAGAAGCACCGGCUAACUCCGUGCCAGCAGCCGCGGUAAUACGGAGGGUGCGAGCGUUAAUCGGAAUUACUGGGCGUAAAGCGCGCGUAGGCGGUCUGAUAAGCCGGUUGUGAAAGCCCCGGGCUCAACCUGGGAACGGCAUCCGGAACUGUCAGGCUAGAGUGCAGGAGAGGACGGUAGAAUUCCCGGUGUAGCGGUGAAAUGCGUAGAGAUCGGGAGGAAUACCAGUGGCGAAGGCGGCCUUCUGGACUGAAACUGACGCUGAGGUGCGAAAGCGUGGGUAGCAAACAGGAUUAGAUACCCGAGUAGUC